UGGCUAUAUCGCGUUGAAACACCAAUUCUUGUACGAUCACCGAAGUUAAGCAACAUAGAGACUGGUCAGUAACUAGAUGGAUGACCGUUUGGGAAUCCCAGUUGAUGUA